rnacentral:rRNA from 1 species
GACGAACGCUGGCGGCGUGCCUAAUACAUGCAAGUAGAACGCUGAAGGAGGAGCUUGCUUCUCUGGAUGAGUUGCGAACGGGUGAGUAACGCGUAGGUAACCUGCCUGGUAGCGGGGGAUAACUAUUGGAAACGAUAGCUAAUACCGCAUAAGAGUAGAUGUUGCAUGACAUUUGCUUAAAAGGUGCAAUUGCAUCACUACCAGAUGGACCUGCGUUGUAUUAGCUAGUUGGUGGGGUAACGGCUCACCAAGGCGACGAUACAUAGCCGACCUGAGAGGGUGAUCGGCCACACUGGGACUGAGACACGGCCCAGACUCCUACGGGAGGCAGCAGUAGGGAAUCUUCGGCAAUGGACGGAAGUCUGACCGAGAAACGCCGCGUGAGUGAAGAAGGUUUUCGGAUCGUAAAGCUCUGUUGUAAGAGAAGAACGAGUGUGAGAGUGGAAAGUUCACACUGUGACGGUAUCUUACCAGAAAGGGACGGCUAACUACGUG